rnacentral:misc_RNA from 1 species
GGCUCCACCCUCCCUCACACAACCACCACCACGCAAUCCGCGUUCAGUAUCCCUUACUUACUCACCUGCCUCUUCAACUUUCAUUGCCAUUCUUAUUUGCUGAGAACCACUCCUCUCUGCUCAUCAGUCCUCAUCUGCCACCGCCGCUUGGGUGAGAACCGCGCAACCAAGGUGGAGAGGAGUCUGUGGCGAGCAGGAGGGGUGUGUGGGUGCGUGAGAGAGACGCAACGCGCGUUCACUGCUGCAGUAGUGCGGGUUUUCUGCUCAGGCGGGCGACGAGGGACACAGGGGAGCGUGGUACUGGCCUCUUUCAUCCACCGGAGUCCGUGGAAGAUGACCGACGUAGUCGAAGAAGGCAAGCAGGCGCGGUGCCUCCCUCUUAGCCUCCUUCCACCAGCGCAUUCUCUUAGCCCUUCCGUGCAAACUCCAGUAUAUGUGAGUCACCUCGGCCGUGUCGUCACAAAAUCGUCGCAGGGACAUGGUUCUUUUCUCCAGUUGUUUCCCUUCGGCUGUCUCAGCCUCACACUCUUGUUUUCGCGUCGUCUGCUGAAGGUUGCUGUUUCAGUGCGCAUCAUCGGCAUUCUGAUAGUUCCAUCACCGUCAUAUUCUCACAGUAUACGGAAAAUAAAGAACGCCAAUGAUGAACCCGCGCUUCGGUAAGCUUCUGUAUACGCGCACGAGGCCAGUACGCACACUUCGUCUUCGCCCUUCCCACGCACUACUCCCUUUUUGUGUGGUUUCGAUUUCUCACACGGAGAGAGAGCUUUUCUGUUUGUUUCGCUUGUUUUCUUUCUCCUGCCGUCGGACCCCUCCUGUUGUUGAUGUUUCUCGCUCCUCCGACGCCGUAUUGAUGUGAGGGUCGUCGCGCACGUGUGCGCUGCUCUUGGGCGGCCAUUUCACGUCGUUCAUAAAGCCUCUUCCCCCUCCCCCCGAAAAAAAAAAGUGUAACAUGCCUAGCACCGCUGCCACCUUCUGACAAGACGCCGCGGCAGAAAGGGGUUGCUGUGCGAGCAACACAAAACGACGCCUUUGGAUGCGAGAGAGCAUGUAGGGCAGAAGGGCAGAGUAUCACCGAAAACAGAAAACAAAAUACCACAGAAGGCCAUUGUACAAUGGACGUGGAGACAUUGACCGCACAUGCCGUGUGGCAGUAGCUAGUGAGCAGGGAUGAGUACAGCACAUGAUUCCAAUCAACACCCACACCCACACACUAGCGAUCCUCUUUGCUUGCUGCUUUCUUCGGUGACAGCUCUCCGGGACUUAUGCUUUGUCUCGCACCUCAGCAGGUGCAGACGAGUCUUACACGAGGCGCAGCGUUGAUGGCAAGUGCAUUCGUAUAUAGAUAUAUAUAUGUGUGUGUGGGGAGGGGGGUGAAUGCAGGAUGAACAUGCGGCGUGUGAUCGAGAGAUCCUGUUCACUAACCACGCUAAUACUUCGAAUGCUGUUCCUCACGCGUUACUUUCAACCGAUCAUCUUUUCUGUUUUGCUCUUUGAUGCGCCGCUCAUGCUUUGGCCCUCACACACGUACACGUUGACGCACCAACACAG